rnacentral:rRNA from 1 species
ACAAAGGGCAGCAAACUCGCGAGAGCUAGCAAAUCCCAUAAACCGUGGCUCAGUUCAGAUCGUAGGCUGCAACUCGCCUACGUGAAGUAGGAAUCGCUAGUAAUCGCAGGUCAGCAUACUGCGGUGAAUACGUUCCCGGGCCUUGUACACACCGCCCGUCACACCAUGGAAGUUGGCCACGCCCGAAGUCGUUACUUUAACCCUUGUGGAGAAGGACGCCGAAGGUGGGGCUGAUGACUGGGGUGAAGUCGUAACAAGGUAGCCGUACCGGAAGGUGCGGCUGGAUCACCUCCUAAC